ensembl:snRNA U6 U6 spliceosomal RNA
UCACUUUGGCAGCACAUAUACUAAAAUUGGAACGAUACAGAGAAAAUUAGCAUGGCCCCUGCACAAGGAUGACAUGCAAAUUUGUGAAGCGUUCCAUUCUGAG